UACGGGGGGGGCAAGCGUUGUUCGGAAUUACAGGGCGUAAAGGGCGCGUAGGCGGCCUGUUAAGUUGGAUGUGAAAUCCCCGGGCUCAACCUGGGAACUGCAUUCAAAACUGACAAGCUAGAGUAUGGUAGAGGGUGGUGGAAUUUCCUGUGUAGCGGUGAAAUGCGUAGAUAUAGGAAGGAACACCAGUGGCGAAGGCGACCACCUGGACUGAUACUGACACUGAGGUGCGAAAGCGUGGGGAGCAAACAGG
rnacentral:rRNA from 1 species